rnacentral:rRNA from 1 species
UACGUAGGGGGCAAGCGUUGUCCGGAUUUAUUGGGCGUAAAGAGCGUGUAGGCGGCUUUACAGGUCCGUUGUGAAAACUCGGGGCUCAACCUCGAGACGCCGGUGGAAACCGUAAGGCUAGAGUCCGGAAGAGGAGAGUGGAAUUCCUGGUGUAGCGGUGGAAUGCGCAGAUAUCAGGAAGAACACCCGUGGCGAAGGCGGCUCUCUGGGACGGUACUGACGCUGAGACGCGAAAGCGUGGGGAGCGAACAGG